rnacentral:rRNA from 1 species
CCUACGGGUGGCAGCAGUGAGGAAUAUUGGUCAAUGGACGAGAGUCUGAACCAGCCAAGUAGCGUGAAGGAUGACUGCCCUAUGGGUUGUAAACUUCUUUUAUAGGGGAAUAAAACGAGGCACGUGUGCCUUUUUGCAUGUACUUUAUGAAUAAGGAUCGGCUAACUCCGUGCCAGCAGCCGCGGUAAUACGGAGGAUCCGAGCGUUAUCCGGAUUUAUUGGGGUUAAAGGGUGCGUAGAUGGGUUGGUAAGUCAGUUGUGAAAGUUGGGGGCUCAACCGUAAAAUUGCAUUUGAUACUGGCAGUCUUGAGUACAGGUGAGGUAAGCGGAAUGCGUGGUGUAGCGGUGAAAUGCAUAGAUAUCACGAAGAACCCCGAUUGCGAAGGCAGCUUACUAAAGUGUGACUGACAUUGAUGCACGAAAGUGUGGGUAUCAAACAGGAUUAGAUACCCGUGUAGUC